rnacentral:rRNA from 1 species
AGUGAACGCUGGCGGUAGGCCUAACACAUGCAAGUCGAACGGCAGCACAGUAAGAGCUUGCUCGUACGGGUGGCGAGUGGCGGACGAGUGAGGAAUACAUCGGAAUCUACUUUUUCGUGGGGGAUAACGUAGGGAAACUUACGCUAAUACCGCAUACGACCUACGGGUGAAAGCAGGGCAUCUUCGGACCUUGCGCGAUUGAAUGAGCCGAUGUCGGAUUAGCUAGUUGGCGGGGUAAAGGCCCACCAAGGCGACGAUCCGUAGCUGGUCUGAGAGGAUGAUCAGCCACACUGGAACUGAGACACGGUCCAGACUCCUACGGGAGGCAGCAGUGGGGAAUAUUGGACAAUGGGCGCAAGCCUGAUCCAGCCAUACCGCGUGGGUGAAGAAGGCCUUCGGGUUGUAAAGCCCUUUUGUUGGGAAAGAAAAGCAGCAGGUUAAUACCCCGCUGUUCUGACGGUACCCAAAGAAUAAGCACCGGCUAACUUCGUG